UACGUAGGGUGCGAGCGUUGUCCGGAAUUAUUGGGCGUAAAGGGCUCGUAGGCGGUUUGUCACGUCGGGAGUGAAAACUCAGGGCUUAACCCUGAGCCUGCUUCCGAUACGGGCAGACUAGAGGUAUGCAGGGGAGAAUGGAAUUCCUGGUGUAGCGGUGAAAUGCGCAGAUAUCAGGAGGAACACCGGUGGCGAAGGCGGGUCUCUGGGCAGUAACUGACGCUGAGGAGCGAAAGCUAGGGGAGCAAACGGG
rnacentral:rRNA from 1 species